CCCUGCCCGGCGCGACUCAGGGCUGCACACCCCUACCUUCCUUGCCUUUGGGGCUGUCCUGGGGCACCUGCCCAGAACAAGCGCUCCUCCUCUGCCUGCCCCUCCUCCCCUGCCACUCUCAUUCCCCCUGUGCUUUCCUCCCGGCAGCCUCCACCCCCAAAGAGACAACGGUGCCUCACAUCGUGCCGCCCGUGAGCACGGAGAAGACCCCCCCGGCCACGUCUGCCAGCAGCACCUCCAGGACGUCCGUGCCCAGCGAGGCCAGCCCGUCCCCCUGUGCUUUCCUCCUAGCAGCCUCCACCCCCAAAGCGACAACGGUGCCUCACAUCGUGCCGCCCAUGAGCACGGAGAAGACCACCCCGGCCACGUCUGCCAGCAGCACCUCCAGGACGUCCGUGCCCAGCGAGGCCAGCCCCGCCAGCAGCCCAGCAGUGCCAGUGGCCAGGACGUCGCCUGCCCCCAGCAGCCCUCUCAGCACCAGGCUGCCAUCUGCCGCCCCUUCCACAGCCUCCUCCCCGUCGCCCCCAAGCUCCCGGCUCAGGCCCACGCCUACGACCCUGAGGCCCAAGCCCUCUCCCCCGAGGACCAGUGCUCCCACAGAGUCGCCUGCGUCCUCCGCACCCUCCACAGCCAAAACUAGCCCGCUGCCCUCAUCUACGUCCUUCCCUCUCUCAACUGUGUCCUCAGCAGUGCCGAGCUCCUCACAGCCAGCCUCCACCCCCAAAGAGACAACGGUGCCUCACAUCGUGCCGCCCGUGAGCACGGAGAAGACCACCCCGGCCACGUCUGCCAGCAGCACCUCCAGGACGUCCGUGCCCAGCGAGGCCAGCCCCGCCAGCAGCCCAGCAGUGCCAGUGGCCAGGACGUCGCCUGCCCCCAGCAGCCCUCUCAGCACCAGGCUGCCAUCUGCCGCCCCUUCCACAGCCUCCUCCCCAUCGCCCCCAAGCUCCCGGCUCAGGCCCACGCCUACGACCCUGAGGCCCAAGCCCUCUCCCCCGAGGACCAGUGCUCCCACAGAGUCCCCUGCGUCCUCCGCACCCUCCACAGCCAAAACCAGCCCGCUGCCCUCAUCUGCGUCCUCCCCGCUCUCAACUGUGUCCCCAGCAGUGCCGAGCUCCUCACAGCCAGGUAAGGCUCCCUGCUGCCUUUCCUUUGCUCUGCUUGCUCUUUGUAGGGAACACAAAUGCCAUUAUUCUUUCUGUUCCUCUUUCGUCC
rnacentral:lncRNA from 1 species